UGCCAGCCGCCGCGGUAAUACAGAGGGUGCGAGCGUUAAUCGGAGUUACUGGGCGUAAAGGGCGCGUAGGCGGUAGAUUAAGUCAGUUGUGAAAUCCCAGGGCUCAACCUUGGAACUGCAAUUGAUACUGGUCAACUAGAGUCGAAGAGAGGGAAGCGGAAUUUCCGGUGUAGCGGUGAAAUGCGUAGAUAUCGGAAGGAACACCCGUGGCGAAGGCGGCUUCCUGGCUUCAGACUGACGCUGAGGCGCGAAAGCGUGGGGAGCAAACAGGAUUAGAUA
rnacentral:rRNA from 1 species